GAUGAACGCUGGCGGCGUGCCUAAUACAUGCAAGUCGAGCGAACGGACGAGAAGCUUGCUUCUCUGAUGUUAGCGGCGGACGGGUGAGUAACACGUGGAUAACCUACCUAUAAGACUGGGAUAACUUCGGGAAACCGUAGCUAAUACCGGAUAAUAUUUUGAACCGCAUGGUUCAAAAGUGAAAGACGGUCUUGCUGUCACUUAUAGAUGGAUCCGCGCUGCAUUAGCUAGUUGGUAAGGUAACGGCUUACCAAGGCAACGAUGCAUAGCCGACCUGAGAGGGUGAUCGGCCACACUGGAACUGAGACACGGUCCAGACUCCUACGGGAGGCAGCAGUAGGGAAUCUUCCGCAAUGGGCGAAAGCCUGACGGAGCAACGCCGCGUGAGUGAUGAAGGUCUUCGGAUCGUAAAACUCUGUUAUUAGGAAAGAACAUAUGUGGAAGUAACUGUGCACAUCUUGACGGUACCGAAUCAGAAAGCCACGGCUAACUACGUG
rnacentral:rRNA from 1 species